rnacentral:rRNA from 1 species
GAUGAACGCUGGCGGCGUGCCUAAUACAUGCAAGUCGAGCGAACGGACGAGAGGCUUGCUUCUCUGAUGUUAGCGGCGGACGGGUGAGUAACACGUGGAUAACCUACCUAUAAGACUGGGAUAACUUCGGGAAACCGGAGCUAAUACCGGAUAAUAUUUUGAACCGCAUGGUUCAAAAGUGAAAGACGGUCUUGCUGUCACUUAUAGAUGGAUCCGCGCUGCAUUAGCUAGUUGGUAAGGUAACGGCUUACCAAGGCAACGAUGCAUAGCCGACCUGAGAGGGUGAUCGGCCACACUGGAACUGAGACACGGUCCAGACUCCUACGGGAGGCAGCAGUAGGGAAUCUUCCGCAAUGGGCGAAGGCCUGACGGAGCAACGCCGCGUGAGUGAUGAAGGUCUUCGGAUCGUAAAACUCUGUUAUUAGGGAAGAACAUAUGUGUAAGUAACUGUGCACAUCUUGACGGUACCUAAUCAGAAAGCCACGGCUAACUACGU